GGCACUAUAGCCAAGUGGUUAAGGCGACAGAUUAGAAUAAGCCAUUCGUGCUGUUUCAUCUGUUACUCUCUGAGUGCGCAGGUUCAAAUCCUGCUGGUGUCG